rnacentral:rRNA from 1 species
AUUCGUCCAAGUGAAGUAGAGGACAGUGGCGGACGGGUGAGUAACGCGUGAGGAACCUGCCUUUCAGAGGGGGACAACAGUUGGAAACGACUGCUAAUACCGCAUAAUGUAUUCUGACCGCAUGAUCGGAAUACCAAAGAUUUAUUGCUGAAAGAUGGCCUCGCGUCUGAUUAGAUAGUUGGUGAGGUAACGGCCCACCAAGGCGACGAUCAGUAGCCGGACUGAGAGGUUGACCGGCCACAUUGGGACUGAGAUACGGCCCAGACUCC